rnacentral:rRNA from 1 species
CCAAUAGCGUAUAUUAAAGUUGUUGCAGUUAAAAAGCUCGUAGUUGAAUUUUGGGUUUGGCCGAUUGGUCCGUUCUUGUAACGAGUACUGGUCGGUUGGGCCUCACCGCUUGGUGAUGCGUAAUGCCCUUUAUUGGGUGUUGCGAGUAGCCAAGACCUUUACCUUGAAAAAAUUAGAGUGUUUAAAGCAGGCCUAUGCCGGAAUACAUUAGCAUGGAAUAAUAGAAUAGGACAACGAUUCUAUUUUGUUGGUUUCUAGGACCGUUGUAAUGAUUAAUAGGGAUAGUUGGGGGCAUUAGUAUUCAAUUGUCAGAGGUGAAAUUCUUGGAUUUAUUGAAGACUAACUACUGCGAAAGCAUUUGCCAAGGAUGUUUUCAUUAAUCAAGAACGAAAGUUAGGGGAUCGAAGACGAUCAGAUACCGUCGUAGUCUUAACCAUAAACUAUGCCGACUAGGGAUCGGGCGAAGUUGUUUCAAUGACUCGCUCGGCACCUUAUG